rnacentral:rRNA from 1 species
CAGUCGCCACGGUAACACGGAGGGUGCAAGCGUUAAUCGGAAUUACUGGGCGUAAAGCGCACGCAGGCGGUCUGUCAAGUCAGAUGUGAAAUCCCCGGGCUUAACCUGGGAACUGCAUUUGAAACUGGCAGGCUAGAGUCUUGUAGAGGGGGGUAGAAUUCCAGGUGUAGCGGUGAAAUGCGUAGAGAUCUGGAGGAAUACCGGUGGCGAAGGCGGCCCCCUGGACAAAGACUGACGCUCAGGUGCGAAAGCGUGGGGAGCAAACAGGAUUAGAUACCCCGGUAGUCCCUGUCUCUUAUAC